UACGGGGGGGGCAAGCGUUGUUCGGAAUUACUGGGCGUAAAGGGCGCGCAGGCGGCCAACUAAGUCGGACGUGAAAUCCCUCGGCUUAACCGGGGAACUGCGUCUGAUACUGGAUGGCUUGAGUUCGGGAGAGGGAUGCGGAAUUCCAGGUGUAGCGGUGAAAUGCGUAGAUAUCUGGAGGAACACCGGUGGCGGAGGCGGCAUCCUGGACCGGCAUUGACGCUGAGGAGCGAAAGCCAGGGGAGCAAACGGG
rnacentral:rRNA from 1 species